GGGGUUGUGGCUCAGUGGUAGAGCGCUUACCUUGUAUAUGAGAGGCACUGGGUUCAAUCCUCAACACUA
rnacentral:tRNA from 1 species